GAUGAAGAACGUAGCGAAAUGCGAUAAGUAAUGUGAAUUGCAGAAUUCAGUGAAUCAUCGAAUCUUUGAACGCACAUUGCGCCCGUCAGUAUUCUGGCGGGCAUGCCUGUUCGAGCGUCAUUACGCCCCUCAAGUCCCCUGUGGAAUUGGUGUUGGGGAUCGGCGAGGCUGGUUUUCCAGCACAGCCGUCCCUUAAAUUAAUUGGCGGUCUCGCCGUGGCCCUCCUCUGCGCAGUAGUAAAACACUCGCAACAGGAGCCCGGCGCGGUCCACUGCCGUAAAACCCCCCAACUUUUUAUAGUUGACCUCGAAUCAGGUAGGACUACCCGCUGAACUUAAGCAUAUCAAUAAGCGGAGGA
rnacentral:misc_RNA from 1 species